UACGUAGGUGGCAAGCGUUGUCCGGAAUUAUUGGGCGUAAAGCGCGCGCAGGCGGCCGCGUAAGUCUGAUGUGAAAGCCCGGGGCUCAACCCCGGUGUGCAUUGGAAACUGUGCGGCUUGAGUGCAGGAGAGGAAAGCGGAAUUCCACGUGGAGCGGUGAAAUGCGUAGAGAUGUGGAGGAACACCAGUGGCGAAGGCGGCUUUCUGGCCUGUAACUGACGCUGAGGCGCGAAAGCGUGGGGAGCAAACAGG
rnacentral:rRNA from 1 species